rnacentral:miRNA from 1 species
AACAUCUUCUUACCAAAAAGUGCAAAGGUAAGGAGAUACGUUCUGCGCAUGCGCAGGCCUAUCUCCUUAAAUACGCAUAAUUUGUUAAAAGGAUAUUAAGCAAAGUUGUAGCCCUCAUCAAGACGAACAACUUUCGUUAACAUCUUCUUACCAAAAAGUGCAAAACUAGGGAGAUACGUUCUGCGCAUGCGCAGCACUAUCUCCUUAAAUACGCAUAAUUUGUUAAAAGGAUAUU